rnacentral:tmRNA from 1 species
GGGGGUGAGCAGGUUCGACGUGGGAGCAGGUGUGCGAGAGAAGCGAGCCGAGCCCACGCCUCGUGAAACCGUGGACGCACGUUAAGUGCCAACAACGAACUCGCUUUAGCUGCCUAACGUCAGCUAACGUCCCUGCCGCCAACGCCCGUGAGGCGGCUGGGGCGCCAAUCAUCGGGCUGGCGCGUCCGGCUUCGUCCGCGGCCGGCGCGUGAGAUCCCGCCGGACUGGCUGCCGCGAAAUCCCGUUCCCGGAUCGCGCGGCGGCGAGAACCCAAAGGGAACUACGCUCGUAGAAGGCUCGCAGACCCUCUCGCGGACGGGGGGUGCGACUCCCCCCCACCUCCACCA